CUGGUUCCCAGCAGUUGCUCCAGUGGCUGAUGCUUGCAGCAGGCUGGGGAGCAGGUGGUACCCAGCUGGGCGAACUGAGGCCCCAGGACAGGCCCUUCCCCCACCCCGCCAUCUCAAGAUCCAGUCUGCAAGAGGACCCGCCUGCCCCUCAGGGUCCUGCCAGGGGACCUGUCACCUGCUGGUAUAUUUUUGGUUUUUUAGAGCCGGGGGCUGAACUCGGCCUUGCACAUGUGAGGCAAGCACUCACCACUGAGUUACAUUCCCGGCCCUUUUGGAGUGAAGGUCUCACGAAGUUGCCAGGCUGGCCUUGAACUUAUGAUUCUCCUGCCUCAGCCUCCCAAGUAGCUGGGAUCAUAGGUGUGUGCCACUGAACCCAGCUAACCUGUCACCUGCUCUAUGGAGGCGAGGCUGGGUCACAUUUGAGGCCAAGCCAGGAGUCCACAUCCGUUUGCAGCGCACUGGGCACCCACCUGCCAUCCCUCUUCCCAUUCCAUCCCGUCGGGUGCAGCGCACAGGCCACGCUGUGGCUGGGUGGGGAGGCAGAGCCUCGGGCUGUUGCUUAUGUACAGCUCCCACAUCUGCACCUGGGCUGGGGUUUCCCCGUCCCCUGGUUAGGCUGUGCUGUCCAGCCUGGUGGGGAACCUGCCUAGCUCCUGGGGCGGCCGUCGGCCCCUGGCAAGGUCCUACUUCUUUCCUCGGUACAAAAGCCUCCCUUUCCUCCCCUCCCUGCCCUUCCACCUCCCACCUCCUUGACCUCCAGAACCAGAGCUGCCUAGAGCUUCAAGGCCCACAGGUGCCAGCACUGCCGGGACCCGGAUGCCCUUCCUGCACCCUGACCACUCCAGACCAUCCACAUGGCCCUCCUUGGGGGCCAGGGGCUGCAGCAUCUGCCAGGGGCCACCAGGAUAUGUGGCCCGUGACAAUGACCAUGGUGGAGUGGGCCCUGCCCCACGCCGCACUCAAUGGUGUCUCAGGUGACCCUUGCAGCAGCUCCCAGGCAGGCUCUAUCACCCUGCCAAGAGACCCCAGGAAGGUGAGAAC
ensembl:lncRNA